AGGAAAGAGGAUGAAGGAAAAAUAAAAAGACAGCAAGAUAAUAAAUAUGGAUUCAGCUGUUUUUGGAGAGGACGAUGUGGAGGUGUCCACUCGACGUCACAGCGAGACCGGAACAAGAAACCAGAAAACCCUCGUCCCAAACCUCGACGAGCAGGAUCCAUGUCUGUUAUUCUGCUACACUGAAGCUAAAAAGAGCUGUUGAUCAGAGGAAGAAAGACGAGGACAUGAAGACCUGCACUAACUGUCUCUUUAAUGAAGAUGCUGUGGUUAUUAUAAAGUAGUUACUGCUCCUUCUCAUUCGUUUAAAAACAAACGCUUACUGCAUGAGAUUUGCAUUGUGAAUAAAAAGUUAAUUUGUCU